rnacentral:rRNA from 1 species
CUACGUGCCAGCAGCCGCGGUAAUACGUAGGGCGCGAGCGUUGUCCGGAGUUAUUGGGCGUAAAGGGCUUGUAGGCGGUUGGUCGCGUCUGCCGUGAAAUCCUCUGGCUUAACUGGGGGCGUGCGGUGGGUACGGGCUGACUUGAGUGCGGUAGGGGAGACUGGAACUCCUGGUGUAGCGGUGGAAUGCGCAGAUAUCAGGAAGAACACCGGUGGCGAAGGCGGGUCUCUGGGCCGUUACUGACGCUGAGGAGCGAAAGCGUGGGGAGCGAACAGGAUUAGAUACCCUGGUAGUCCACGCUGUAAACGUUGGGCACUAGGUGUGGGGGCCACCCGUGGUUUCUGCGCCGUAGCUAACGCUUUAAGUGCCCCGCCUGGGGAGUACGGCCGCAAGGCUAAAACUCAAAGGAAUUGACGGGGGCCCGCACAAGCGGCGGAGCAUGCGGAUUAAUUCGAUGCAACGCGAAGAACCUUACCAAGGCUUGACAUGC